rnacentral:rRNA from 1 species
GGGUGCGAUCAUACCAACGUUAAUGCAAUGAAUCCCAUCAGAACUCCACAGUUAAGAACGCUUGGGCUAGAGUAGUACUGGGAUGGGUGACCUCCCGAGAAGUCCUAGUGUUGCACCCU